UCAUAUACAUCUUUGUGUAGAAAGUCUUAGAAUGUUUAUUAUCAGAGAGUUGCGACUUCUAGGAGUUGUGAAUCUUUGAGACAAAAGUUAUUACAACUUUCAGCAAUGGAUCUCUUGGCUCUCGCAUCGAUGAAGAACGCAGCGAAAAGCGAUAUGUAAUGUGAAUUGCAGAUCUACAGUGAAUCAUCGAAUCUUUGAACGCACCUUGCGCUCCUUGGUAUUCCGAGGAGCAUGCCUGUUUGAGUGUCAGUAAUUUCUCAACCCCUCUCAAUUAGCUUUGAGGGGGAGCUUGGAUAGUGGGUGUUGCCAGAGACUCUUACUUGUGUAAGACUUGGGCUCACCUGAAAUGCAUUGGCUUGCAGUCAACCUUUUGACUUUGCAUGAUAAGGCUUUCGGUGUGAUAAUGAUCACCGUGUGCUGAAGUGUAUGAAUAAAGGUUCUGUGCCUCUAAUAUAUGGGUUGACCUUUACUAUAUAGUAAAGUCUUUCCCCCCCUUUUGACUUUUGACC
rnacentral:rRNA from 1 species